AAAACAUUCUUUAUUACCAUGGACCGCUGUCAGAUCAUUCUUCCUGAAGUCUGCUCACUCCCACUUGCAUUUUGUUUGGUGUAGAUGAGGGUUAGCUAGUUUGAUAAUUGACCAAAAAAACUGCACAUUCAUUUUUAAAAAGUGAUAAAGAAAUCACAAUUUUCAUUGUACUCAUUAAUGUAAGUUGCUAACGGAAAUGUUGACCAUAUUUCAUAAAACAAGACUGACCAGCACCAGAGAUAACUCAGGUGUCAUAUCAGGCCUGGCCUGCAGAAAAGAUUAAUUGCAUGCUAUUAUCUGGUUAGACACCUCAUCAGAGUACUCUACAGCAGUUUUCCUUCCUUCUGUCCUCUAUCUGCACUGAUCUGGAAAUUAAAUAAUUUCAGUGCAGGAAAUGAAACAGUCUGAAAAGUAAAAUAUUGUCAAAGAUGACUCGUACUUCAACAUGAUUCAUUUUAUUGAUAACAAUCCAUCUUAAAAUUAUCCAGAUAUACGCUACAUUUUUCAAACCUUUUAUUUUUCAUCCGGAAAUGACAGAAUUUCCAUAAAUAGUUAAUUGUCACUAAAUAAUCUAUUACAUGAUAGGCCUAAUGUAAGCAAAAUAUUUGAAAUUACAGCAAUUAAAACUAUAUCACAGCAUGUGAUUUUAUCUGUUUUCUUUUUUUCGGUGGGAGAAAGUUUGUCAACUACAAGCUGUAGAUAAGUGAGUUUUGAGUCAACAUGAUGUAGAGAAAUGUGUUUUGAGUCAACAGGAUGUAGAGAAAUUAGUUUUGUGUCAACAGGAUGUGAAGAGGUGAGUUUUGAAUCAAAAGGAUGUAGAGAAAUUAGUUUUGAGUCAACAGGAUGUAAAGAAAUGAGUUUUGAGUCAACAGGAUGUAAAGAGGUGAGUUUUGAGUCAAUGGGAUGUAGAGAGGUGAGUUUUGAAUCAACGGGAUGUAAAGGGGUGAGUUUUGAGUCAACAGGAUGUAAAGGGUUGCUUUUUGAGUCAACAGGAUGUAGAGAGGUGAGUUUUGAGUCAACAGGCUGUAUAGAGUUGACCUGACACAGGAAAACCUGUGUCACCAUGGGGACUUAGUCUAUGAUGGGCGGGGUGACUUUGGCACUUUUGUCAUGUGGCAGAAGACUGCUUGAAUGAUAUAUAGGUUAUACUCACUUGGUGCUUAGUAAGGUUGCUAUCAUUAUCAAAUUAUUUGAUUUUCUGUCUCCCACCAAAGUAUUUCUUCCUUGCAUCUCCAAAAUGCCUUCCUCAAAGACAGUCCACAUACGGCCCUUUUAAUAUUUCAUACUGACCAGCAGCAGUACAAAUAUCCCAAGCAUAUUGUUUUUAUUACCAAAUUGCUAUUCUAAAGCAGGCUUUUAACUAUAAAAUAAUAAAAACAUAAAUAAUUCAGGGCUACUUAGUAUAUACAUUAUCAAUGGCAACAUUCUUUGAAACCUAUCCAGACAUAAUAGUAUAGAACCUUUUUUAAAAGAUAAACCUUUUUUAAAUGUUCAAUACCUUUAGUUAUUACAUUAAAGGAACACUGUCUUACAUACUCUAAAAUUGUGUUUUUGCAAGUUCAUGAUAAACCUUAAGCUCCAGAACAGUAAUACCUGUUUACAGCACUACAUACUCUAGUUCUAACAGUAAUAUCACCAGUAUGAUCACUAGUAGAAUUUCUAGGUCUUUAAGUGCAUCUUGGCUGAUUCAAGUCCCUCCAGCCCAUUGGUUUACUUGCUACUGGUUGUGCAUUCCCUUUAGGGCAGGCUAUUGGUUGCUUCCAAACCCCUCCAAAUUACAGAUUAAAAUAAGGAGGACCUAGAACUGCCUGGUCAAUUCAUUUCCAAGAUUGGUUAACGUAGGUUCUAAUAUUAAUCUCUUUACAGAAUAACCUAUUCUAUACCUGGGGACUAGUCUUUAACUGCAUAGCCUAUUCUAAACCUGGACUAGUCUUUAAAAGCAGAGCCUAUUCUAAACCUGGAGUAGUCUUUAAAAGCAGAGCCUAUUCUAAACCUGGAGUAGUCUUUAACAGCAGUCAGUCUGAACACACUAUAGAGUCUGAAGUCUGUCAUGUCCUCUUUUUCUCCCUUCCAUUCUACCAUCUUUCGUUACUUGGCUCCCUGCUUCAAGUUUCUUUGUUCUUUCCUUCCACUGUUCCGUCUUUGCAUGUGACUGAAUCCAUUGGGUGUCCUGUCUUUCAGUCAGGAGCAGGGCAUGCGGUCACCUGGGGGGUCGACCUUGGACCUGUCCCCUGCCCCAGUGCACGCUGGGAAGGGUUAGGCACUUCCUGAAGUGCUCCAGCUGAGCCUGCAGCCUCUCUCUCUCCUCUCUCACCCUCUGUCUCUGACUUGACAGCUCCUAGAAAAAGGGGGAUAAAGGGAGAGAGUUCCUAAAAGAGCCGGGGAGGCGAUCGGUGCAUGCCAGGGUAGACUGACGGAACCUCAGGAGGUUCUUACCGCCAUGCUGUGGGACAGCUGCUCAGCAGUCAGACUGAGAGUGUAGUUCUGGGACUCCAGCCUCCUGGACUGACUGUGAAGAACCUGUCUCUCCACACCGCGCUCUGAGGAGGACAAGGUGAAGAGACCAUAAGCAACAGGAGAUUGACGCAGAAGCAUGGGGCCACAGAAGGAGUGGAGGAAGACAGGAAAAGGAGAGAGGGAAUAGAAGUCUAGAUGUAUGUUUAGAGGUACCACGUUUUAUUUGACUCCCAAAGGAAAACUCACCGUCCACGUACUCCUGAUACGCCUCAAAGACUGACUCUAUGCCCCUCCACUUCCUAGGGGCUUCCUCCUCCUCCUCCCCCUCCUGCUCCUCCUCGUCCUCUGACAGCUCAUCCCAUGCGCCCUCGGGGUCAUGGCGCGGUGGGGAGGUGCCGAGGUAAUGCCCAUUGGUGAGUGGGUGUGGGGGGGUGCGGAAAAGGGCCGGUGCCUUCGGUGGGGGGAUGUUAUAGGUUGCUGAAGGCUCAGACUUUAUGCUGGACUCUGGAAUGACGGUGGAACCACCCAGCGUCUUGUGGGUAGACUGCAACACAGCCUGGUGAAAGUGUUGGGCGAAGACCUCUGGGGUGAACGUCUCCCACGGCAUUUUCUUCCCAGCCAGGGCGGCCUUUGUUUGGGGAGGUUGGCCACGUUGCCCUUCUCCGUUCUGGAGGUCCUGGAGCCUCUUAGCUGGGUAACCUUUGUCUAUUCCUGGCUUGUUGAGGUGUGGGACAAGGGGAGGGGGGUGGCGGGGUGGAGGGCUAUGGAUAUGCCGUUUUGGGGCGUCUGUGUGGAGGUUAUCAAGAUAAUGGGGGUAUGGGGGGGAGGGGCUUGGGGAGUCUGGGUAAUGGAGUCCACUGGACUCACUGACAGGGAGAACAGGUGAGGAGUCCCCUGAAAACACAAAGACAGUAUGGAUCUGGUGUGUGUAGAUAUGUAUUUAUGUGGAUAUGUGUGUGUGGAUAUGUAUGCGUGCGUAUGUUUUAAUGCAGGUGUGUGUGUAUGUGUGUAUGCACGUGUGUGUGUGUGCCUUACCAGUUGAGGGAACAGGGGGGCUGCAACAGAGGGGUGAAGGGUUGUAUCGGAUGGUGUCCAAUGUCACAGUCUUCAGCUUUACAGCAUUCAGCAACCCCUCCACCUUCUCCUUAUCU
ensembl:lncRNA